UAAACACAGCCAAACUUUUAAUUAAAAUAACUACAGCCUUGAAAUCAUUCUGCUAGGGUUUCCUUCUAACAGCCGCCGAACCCACUAUUCAGUUUGAUGGUCGACGGUGCGCAAGCAGCGACCCGGUCUUGCCAACGAAGGUCACCCAUGAAGAUUUGGUUCUAUGUUGACAUGAAGACGUACAGAGAAGCAAGCUACUCGUGGGGAGGCCGUUCGUGAGAGGCUCGAUUUCAUGGCUAGCUACUGCACUGUGUAUUCCAGAAACCUCUAGGGUUUCUAGUGUUUUCUCAUUUUGAGCUCAUUUGGGCCGCAUGUAAAUUGGGUUAGGAUUUUAGGUUUUGAACUAGUGUUUUAUUUCUAUUUCGGGU